UUUUUUUUUGGUUUUGU
rnacentral:sRNA from 1 species